rnacentral:lncRNA from 1 species
GGGAGGGUGGCUCUAGGACCCAUACGAGCCUUCCCGAGCAGGAGGUGGGAAUUUUCCUCCAAGGCAGCAGGAGCCCGAGCCCGGUCUCAGAGCUCCAGCGGAGCCCGCAGGAAGAGCCGGGCACGUCCCCUCCACAGCCGCGCAGCCGGGUGGGACCAGCCCGCACCCCGCAGAGCCAUGGACCGGCUGCCACAGCUGCUGCUGUGGGUCACCACAGUGGAAGUCUCCUGUGUCAUCGGCUCAAGCUGCUCGUGGGUGACGUCCACAGACGCUUUUGGGAAACCAGACUGGGUGUUAUCUUCCAUUGGUGUCCUGGCAGCCCAGGAGAGGCAGCAGAUGCUUCUGGAAAACAGUUCCUCCUGCAAAGAUGUUGAAGGUAGGCAGAGCUCCGGUUGCCGUCGAAUGGACACCUGCUUUAGCCCAGCUCCGGCUGCAGCAGGAGUCAGCCUCAGGCCCUUGUCACUGAAAGUUCCACCAUGUGCUGGCUCUGGUGCAGAGCUCCCAAAGGCACAGCCAGUGCCCAAGAGCCAGUAG